rnacentral:rRNA from 1 species
GAACGCUGGCUACAGGCUUAACACAUGCAAGUCGAGGGGAAACGGCAUUGGGUGCUUGCACCGAAUGGACGUCGACCGGCGCACGGGUGAGUAACGCGUAUCCAACCUUCCCGUUACUGCGGGAUAACCUGCCGAAAGGCAGACUAAUACCGCAUGUUCUUCGAUGACGGCAUCAGAUUCGAAGCAAAGAUCCGUCGGUAACGGAGGGGGAUGCGUCUGAUUAGCUAGUUGGCGGGGCGACGGCCCACCAAGGCGACGAUCAGUAGGGGUUCUGAGAGGAAGGUCCCCCACAUUGGAACUGAGACACGGUCCAAACUCCUACGGGAGGCAGCAGUGAGGAAUAUUGGUCAAUGGGCGGAAGCCUGAACCAGCCAAGUAGCGUGCAGGAUGACGGCCCUACGGGUUGUAAACUGCUUUUAUGCGGGGAUAAAGUGAGGGACGCGUCCCUUUUUGCAGGUACCGCAUGAAUAAGGACCGGCUAAUUCCGUGCCAGCAGCCGCGGUAAUACGGAAGGUCCGGGCGUUAUCCGGAUUUAUUGGGUUUAAAGGGAGCGUAGGCCGGGGAUUAAGUGUGUUGUGAAAUGUAGGCGCCCAACGUCUGACUUGCAGCGCAUACUGGUUCCCUUUGAGUACGCGCAACGCCGGCGGAAUUCGUCGUGUAGCGGUGAAAUGCUUAGAUAUGACGAAGAACCCCGAUUGCGAAGGCAGCCGGCGGGAGCGCAACUGACGCUGAAGCUCGAAGGUGCGGGUAUCGAACAGGAUUAGAUACCCUGGUAGUCCGCACGGUAAACGAUGGAUGCCCGCUGUCGGCGCCUUGCGCCGGCGGCCAAGCGAAAGCGUUAAGCGUCCCACCUGGGGAGUACGCCGGC